AAUUUACCUAUUUAUGGGUACUUCUUUUACCCAUAUAUGGGUAUUGUAUACAACACCUAAAUUAUGGGUGAAAUAAACUGAUAAUAUCGGUAAUAUUUACUUAUAUUAUUAGUAAGUCGAGUUUACGCAAAUUUAGGUGAAUGCAUUUCACCCAUAUUUGGAUGAAAAACGGAACUUAACCGAUUCCGUCAGAAUCAAAUUGAUAACCAAACAAACCUGACGUCGAUUUGAAGGAAGAAUCCGCCACCUGCUUCCGAAGCUGCUGUUGUUUUAUUUAUUUUUACCGGUGCUGCAAUAAUACCUCCUUUCGCUGUUAGUUUCGGUGCUACAAUUUCUUCCCGAUCGAGACUUGCUUUCCGAUUUUGCUGCUUUUGUUUGUUCAAAAGAACUUUGAGCAUGCUGCGGUUAAUAGCUAUUGCGGUUAAACGAUCGAAUCACUGCUGGAUAAUUAUAAAGAGGAGAGUCAAGAAAAUCUGGAAUCCCGAUGUGAGCUGACGGUUCCGUAGUAGGCUGAUGUGAUGACCAUUCCAAGAAGCAACUGUAAAUAGAUCCAGCGGAGUCAUCGGGGAAUCGCGAGUGAAAACGUAAACGUUAGCGAGAAUGGAACUAAGAAUGAAUGCCAUUCCGAGAGCUGAUUUUCUUUGCCGCCAUUCGAUGCCAAAGUCCGGACCGUAGAUCUUCAUUUAAAAAAUCACAGUACCUGUAGCAGCGGACCUUAUGUUUCGCACUUGGUUUCGCCGUACCCUUUCCCCUUUCGCCUUCUUCCAGAAUUCUUGCUGUCGUUCUGGAAAAACCUCCGACAACGAAUAGGGUAAUAAAAGCCGAUAGG